AGACUUUUCUUCUUAUGAAACCUUUAUUAGCCUUUAAUAAAAAAAAAAAAAAUUAAAAAAUAAUGAAAUGAUCAUAUAUGGCAAAGGGUGGCCGGCCAUGUGGUGUUUUAGAGUGGUGUGAACCCAAUUUUAUAAAGUUUAACUCCCAUUUUAAUUAAGAAGUCAAGUGGGCAAGUGGGUAGAAAAGCACUCAAGUGUUUUGUGAUAUUUUGAAGAGUUGUGUGAGCCAUUCUAACCCCCAAAUCCGACCACUCUCCCUCUCUCAUUCACUCUCAUCUGAUUUUUUAAGACCAUUCAAAGUGUUCUCUCAAUAUUCAACCUCAAGAACACCAAGGAAAACUUGGAGGCUAAGUCUUGGUCUAGGAAGUAUUUUCCCUAAGUUUGCUAGGAUUUUUGAAAGGUUUUGAAGGAGUCAAAGCUUAUAGGAAGGUCCAAACCUUAAGCAAGAACACCAAAGAGUAUUGGCUAAGCGUAACUGGACUGAACGUUGGAGGGUGAAAACUUGCUGAGCGCUAAGGACUCCAAGUAAGUGCAAGGGCAAGGCAGAGCAGUGAGCGCUGGAGUCUUCCUUGCAAAUGUAUAUGUGGACCGACCUUUUGGGAAGCCUUUUUAUUUUUGGAAAUGUUGUGUAAUUUUCCUAAACUAGGCUCACUCUAAUCUUUAUAAAACAUGUUUGUAAUUAAAUGUUAAGUAUGGCCAUACAACUUUUUAAAAAGUUUUUUUUUCUAUGGGUUUUUGAGACAUUUUGUUAAAUGAAAACAUUUAUAUUUCCGCAUUAUCGAGUCUUGAAAAUCUGGGUCGUUACAACACUUUUGGUCCUGUAAUCUCUGAGUUCCAUUUUUCAUUUUUGAUGUUCUUUAGCUUCAAAGCUCAAGGUGGGAUUUAUGAGUUUCUAUGGGGACUUUGGGUAUAUUGUGGUGUUAUAUUGUUGUUAUGGAUGAAUUUAUUUGAUUUUAUAACUCAAUUCUAGGUCUAUUUGUUAUUUAGGAUGAAUAUUGAGGAAUUGGGCUGGGGAGAAAUGUUGGAGAAAACUGGGUUCGCGGGGUUGCGUUGCGACGCUGUUCUUGGAGCAUCCCGACCCGCAUGAGUCAGGGGCUAGGGGUGGUUCUCUAAAUCGCCUUAGCGCCGCGGCGCUGGGUGGGCUGCACCAUAGUGCAUGUCUAGGGAAAUAAGGGAAUUGGCUCUCUGGCUUGUAGAGAGUCGCGACGCUUAUGAGGGGUGCCGCGACUCAAAUUGGGGAUUUUGGCCAAAUGGGGUUUUCGAGCAUGGGAACUUGAACCUAAAGGCUCGGUAAGGAUUCUAUUACCUGGUUUAGUAGAAUUUGAGAACCCGAAGGCUAGGAAUUAAUCUCAAAGCUUUUAAAUAGUUUAGUGCUUGAUGGCCAUUCAUUAUUAUGAUGUGAUAAGGUUAUACCGUUAGGGGUCGGGAGUAAGGAUUGCGCUCGGGAUCGCCAUACGCAAUCUGCUCAGGACUCGAGGUAAGAAAAUUACACCCUCAUUGUGAUUAGGGCUCGGGCCCCUGUUAAUGAAUAUGACCAUAAUCAUGUCCGCGAUUACUUGAUUAGGCAUGCUUGUUUACGAUGUAUUUGAUUAUGUGUUAGGAAAAUUGUAUAUUUAAUUAUACCUAUUCUGAAAGCUUGGCCUAAGAGAGUCGGGGUCGGCAAUAAGCGUGCGGAACGCAGGUCGUUUUGGCUAGGGCAACCUGGAAAUACAAUAUCCACUUGUCUGACCUGAACACCACCUAAAUAAUUAGAAGUGCAGUUUGCACUUGUCUAACUUAUUAGCUAUAUAAAUUGGACUAUGUGUUUGAUUGGGGAUGGUUAUUACUACUAAGCUUGUUAUUUAUAUUCUGUUGCCUGUCUAAAUCUAUUGAUUUAAGUUUUCUUGUUGAUUCUUGGCUCACGGGUGCUAUGUGGUGCAGGUAAGGGAAAAAGGAAGCUGGACCAGCCUUGAGUUGGAGAGCUUUGGGGCGAUGUGUACAUUUGUAGGUGCUCGACCACCACGGCCGAGAGUUCAAGAGGGACUAGAGUCAAAUCCUAGUUUUGCCACUUAGGCUGGCUUGUAUUGUAAUUACCUUGGAGUUGUAAAUGCCUUGUAAAUAUUUAUUUUGGGAUCCCAUGUACAGACAUAAACUUUUAAAUGAAAGUAACUGUUCUUAUGAUCAAAA